rnacentral:misc_RNA from 1 species
UCCUAUGUUCCGGAGAGCAGAGCACGUAGUGAUAUGCUCUCACAAGCUACUUGCUACAAUUGGAUAAUCUUUCGAUGAAGAAGGUCGAACGAUAAACGAAACGAAACGAAAGGUUUUAUUCGUAAACACCUUCUCAUAAGUUAUUCAAACCUAUUGACAAGUGAUAAGGUUUAUUGAUCAUUCAUUCAAUUUUAAUUACAAAUUCACGUGUAACUUUGUUUAAUCGGUCGGAAAUUGACCGAGUCCAAAGAUGUGCGGUGGUUUUACGUGUUCGAAAAAUGCUCUAACAGCCCUAAAUAUACUUUACAUUGUCGUUGCAUUUAUUUUAAUUGGAGUUGCUGUUUAUGGAAGAGCAUCAGCUUUGGUCACCAAUCUUCCAAUAAUUGGUGGAAUUUUAGCUUGCGGAGUUAUACUCAUUCUCAUUUCCAUUCUCGGAUUAAUUGGUGCUGUGAAACAUCAUCAAGUUUUAUUAUUCUUUUAUAUGCUUAUCUUGUUCCUUCUGUUUUUGAUUCAAUUCAGCAUUGCUUGUGCUUGUCUUGCUGUUAAUGCCAAACAACAAGAACAACUUGCCGAACAAGGAUGGAGACGAGUUGGAGAUGAUUUACGUGCUAAAGUAGAAGAAACUUUCCAUUGCUGUGGAUUUAAUGAUACUGUUAUUGAAACAGAUCCCUUGGCAUGCCACAAUACAAAUAAAACUUGCUGUCCUUAUUCUGAUCGCGAAUGCACCAAUCGAUGUCCAUUAUGUAUGCAAAAGUUGCAAUCUACGAUUGAUUACGCUUUCAAACUCUGUGGUAGUAUAGGAUUAUUUUUCAGUUUUACAGAGUUUGUUGGUGUUUGGUUGACCGUGCGGUACAGGAACCAGAAAGAUCCGCGAGCUAAUCCUAGUGCUUUUCUCUAGUCUAACACCAUCGCCAUGUCCUCUAUCUCCUCAUACGACCCUCCUAAUAGAUGGUGAUCGCAGCUUUUCUAGCAAAGCAUUUUAAAAAUCAGCUGGAUUCGCAA